rnacentral:rRNA from 1 species
GACGAACGCUGGCGGCGUGCCUAAUACAUGCAAGUAGAACGCAGUUGCGAACGGGUGAGUAACGCGUAGGUAACUGCCCCAUAGCGGGGGAUAACUAUUGGAAACGAUAGCUAAUACCGCCUUCUGUGAGAUGGACCUGCGUUGUAUUAGUUAGUUGGUGAGGUAAAGGCUCACCAAGGCGACGAUACAUAGUCGACCUGAGAGGGGGAUCGGGCAAACUGGGACGGAGACACGGCCCAGACUCCCACGGGAGGCAACAGUAGGGAAUCUUCGGCAAUGGACGGAAGUCUGACCGAGCAACGCCGCGGGAGUUAAGAAGGUUUUCGGAGCGUAAAGCUCUGUUGUUAGAGAAGCGGUAACUGACCAGAAAGGGACGGCUAACUACGUGCCAGCAGCCGCGGUAAUAC